rnacentral:rRNA from 1 species
UACGUAGGCAGCGAGCGUUGUUCGGAAUUACUGGGCGUAAAGAGUGUGUAGGCGGUGCUCUAAGUUCGGUGUGAAAUCUCCCGGCUCAACUGGGAGGGUGCGCCGGAAACUGGAAUGCUCGAGCGUGGGAGAGGAAAGCGGAAUUCCUGGUGUAGCGGUGAAAUGCGUAGAUAUCAGGAGGAACACCUGCGGUGUAGACGGCUUUCUGGACCAUUGCUGACGCUGAGACACGAAAGCGUGGGUAGCAAACAGG